rnacentral:rRNA from 1 species
UACGGGGGAUCAGGGUUCGAUUCCGGAGAGGGAGCCUGAGAAACGGCUACCACAUCCAAGGAAGGCAGCAGGCGCGCAAAUUACCCAAUCUAGACAGUAGGAGGUGGUGAAGAGAAGUACUGAGUGGUGGCAAUAUUGUUACCAACUUGGAAUGAACGUAAUUUAAGCAAUUCGAUGAGUAACUACUGGAGGGCAAGUCCUGGUGCCAGCAGCCGCGGUAAUUCCAGCUCCAGUGGCGUGAUUUAAAGUUGCUGCGUUUAAAACGCUCGUAGUUGGAUCAUGCAGUAGUAUUCAGUAGUUUUAGUCCGUGUACGCUGACGAUUUCCUCAGAAGAGGUUAUUGGAACUGCAUUGGCUAGAACGUUAACGCUGUGUGCUACUAUUUGCACACAAGUGUGAUAUUUGGCCUUAAAUGAGUUGAGUAUCAUGUCUUGUGGAGUGUGCCUUGAAUAAAACAGAGUGCUUAAAGCAGGCGAACGCUUGAAUGUUAUAGCAUGGAACGAACAAACGUGUAUUUGCAUGUGUCUAAUAAUAAUUUGGGGCAACCUAUUUUGUUGUUGGCGUAUGCAGCACCCACCAAAAUGCGAAUGUUGGUUUUCGUAUCAGGUGAUGAUUAACAGGAGCGGUUGGGGGCAUUGGUAUUUGGCCGCGAGAGGUGAAAUUCUUGGACCGGCCAAGGACUAACAGAUGCGAAAGCGUUUGUCUAGACCGUUUCCAUUAAUCAAGAACGAAAGUGGGAGGUUCGAAGACGAUCAGAUACCGUCCUAGUUCCCACCUUAAACUAUGCCGACCUGGGAUCAGUUUAGUGAUUUACAAGCACUAAAUUGGUCCCCCUGGGAAACCUCAAGUUUUUCGGUUACGGGGAGAGUAUGGUCGCAAGUCUGAAACUUAAAGGAAUUGACGGAAGGGCACCACCAGGGGUGGAGCCUGCGGCUUAAUUUGACUCAACACGGGGAAACUUACCUGGUCCGGACAUCGAAAGGAUAGACAGACUGAUAGAUCUUUCUUGAUGCGGUGAGUGGUGGUGCAUGGCCGUUCUUAGUUCGUGGAGUGAUCUGUCAGGUUGAUUCCGGUAACGAACGAGACCACCUUCUCCAUUUAAGAUGCGGUAGCAGAUGGCUAGAUUUUCGCGGUUUCGGCUGUGACUCUUUAGUUGUCGUAGAUAAGGUUGUAAAAUUCCAAGGAGGAGAUGUGGGUGGGCAACUGCUUGCAUUAAGUCUUUGAAAGGAUACGAUUUUUCCUACCGUUUUGCAGUGUUGGGCAAAACCUACACACUGCCUUAUGGAGAGACAACAGGUAUAUAAAAGCCUGAGGAAGUGUGGCUAUAACAGGUC